CUCUUCUUGAUAUUUUUAAGAAGUAAUACCUGCCCAAUGAUAAUAUUUAAUGGCCGCGGUAUUUUGACCGUGCAAAGGUAGCAUAAUCAUUAGUCUUUUAAUUGAAGGCUGGAAUGAAUGGUUAGACGAGAUAAAUACUAUCUUAUUGGUAAUGAAUUGAAUUUAAUUAUUAGGUAAAAAAGCUUAAAUAAUUUUAUGGGACGAGAAGACCCUAUAGAGUUUAAUACUUAUUUAUUUAAUUUUGUGGGAAAAUUUUAUUAUAAUUGGUAAGUAUUUUGUUGGGGUGAUGGAAAGAUAAUUGUAACUCUUUUUUGAAUAUAAAUACUUAUGUGUAUGUUCUUGAUCCACUAAUAGUGAUUAUAAGACUAAAUUACCUUAGGGAUAACAGCGUAAUCUUUUCUGAGAGUUCUAAUCGAGGAAGAGGAUUGCGA
rnacentral:rRNA from 1 species